AGCCAUUAUGUCCAAAAGGAGAAGAAGAAUAAAGCCUGUAGAUGAUGCAAAGACAUAUAUUCUGUCUUGCACUGACAAGUCUGGAUUUAUGUCAAGACUUGUAGACAGUUGCAUAGGUAAGUGGUAGAAGGUUCCAUGACACAACUUAUGGAUUUCAAACGCAAAACAGAAUAGCCUUUAUUGUCAUUGUACUGUGGAGGUACAACGAAAUUUAGGGUGCUCCUAGUGAAGUGGAUACAACGACAGGGGAGAGUUUAUUUGCAUUUCAGGUUAUGUGUGGCCUUUUGCAUCUGUCAGAGAAUUUCAAUCAGACUGAUAGAAAUAAAUGUAAAUAUUUUACAGUCCAGGCAAGAUAGUCAGAGUGCUUUGUUAAAAUAUUCUACCGAAGUGUCCAUUGAAGUAGAGGCCAUUGCUGUGGUAUUAGCCUAACGGCGGUUAAGGCCUCUGUUUGAAAAUUGCAUACCCAUAAUGAAAUGAGUAUAUCUCUGCAACUACAAGGUCUAUUUGAAUACUUGUGGUGUCAUUGUAAAGGGAACACAUUGAGAAUUUGUUGAGAUCUGUAAAUAUCAGUAUAGGUGUUACUGGUGAAGAGUAAAUGAAGAUAGGACACAGCACAAACAAAAUUAAUUUCAGGAUCGCCUAAAAAAACUAUUUAGGAUGAGUAUCCUUUAGAAUGAUGCAGCCCUAGCGCUGAACCUCUAUCAAGUCAUAGUACAAUCUAUGGACAUUAUCUUUGCAAAGUUUGAUUCUGGGCUGUUACAUGUUUUUUAAGAGACACAAAUGCCAUAUACUAAACUAUUUUACAAAUUACAAUAAAAUAAUCACUGUACUAACAGUUUCUUCGUAUUUUAUGUCUUGUAUUUUUUAAUGAAGUUCUUUCUUUGUCUAGAUGUCAGUAUGCCAGGAGAACGGGUCAGAAGAUGAGGUCAGCAUGACAUCACAAGUCCAAAACCAAAGUUUGUCUGCAAGAAAGAGAGGUAAGCAAGCUGCUGUGAAACACUGGACACCCGAGGAAAUUGAUGCAGUAGAGAAACAUCUAAAGAAGCUCAUUGUAAGACGAGAUGUUCCAGGUAAGGCGGACUGUGAGCGCUGCAUUUCUGCAGAACCGCAAGCACUGCAAAAAAGAGACUGGUAAUCAGUCAAAUAUUUCAUCAAGAAUAGAAUAACUUCCAUGAGAAGAAAACUACAAUGAAAACACACGUUUUCAGUUUGCAACACUUUUUUUUUCAAGGCGGAAAUGUGCUGUAGUUUGUUAGUAUUCUGUAUUCAUUGUUUUCCUCUAAUCAUUGUUGUCGUUUUGUGUAAAAUGUGGUCUGAUCACCGACUUUUUCACAAAAUAAAUACAUGGUACCUCAGGAUAACUUGUUGAAAGCAUUGUAUUUGUUGUUAGCCUAAUAGCAUAGCUGCCUCAAGUCUUAUUUUAAGUUUUUUUUGCAAGAUAAUGCACGGUGAAUCAGCAGUUUUAGGAGAAUAGAACUAGGCUAAUGUAUGCAAUAUGAAAAACUGUGCUUACAGUUAACUCCAGGGUGGAAUAAAAAGGAAAAAAACUGUUAACUCAAAAUUAGAUCUUGGGGCUGAUUAAUUUGAAAUGGUUGUGCUGGUACUGAAAAUCAUUAUUUGAUUACCAUGCUACUACCCUGUCUUCCUGUUGAUGGUCUUUUGUGAAGAUGAUAGCACAUACAGUAGUUAAUGAGCUUACAAGGCGAUGUGAAUUUGCAGGUGUAAAGGGAAAAGAGAUGGAAUGAAGGAAGAAGAUGAUUUAAUUUGAAAUAUAGAUCCUUGAUGCAGUCAGUGUCUAUGUGCAGUAGAAACCAUUAAUGGGCCCCAGAUAGUAACCGAACACCCCGCAAAGAUACAAAAACAAGGAAUGUGUGUGUGUGUGUGUGUGUGUGACACUGGACCUCACAAGUACUGUAUGUUAGAAACGGGCCCCACAAGUGACCAAAAAACGUACAUGGAGA
ensembl:lncRNA